rnacentral:rRNA from 1 species
AUACGUAGGGGGCGAGCGUUGUCCGGAAUUACUGGGCGUAAAGGGUGCGUAGGCGGAUAUACAAGUCCGAUGUGAAAUGCUUCGGCUUAACCGGGGAGUUGCAUUGGAAACUGUAUAUCUAGAGUGCAGGAGAGGGAAGCGGAAUUCCUAGUGUAGCGGUGAAAUGCGUAGAUAUUAGGAGGAACACCAGUGGCGAAGGCGGCUUCCUGGAUUGCAACUGACGCUGAGGCACGAAAGCUGGGGCAGCGAACAGGAUUAGAUACCCUGGUAGUCCCAGCUGUAAACGAUGGGUACUAGGUGUUGUCACUUCAUUGUGGCAGUGCCGGAGUUAACGCAAUAAGUACCCCGCCUGGGGAGUACGGCCGCAAGGCUGAA